AGUGGGGAAUAUUGGACAAUGGGCGCAAGCCUGAUCCAGCCAUGCCGCGUGAGUGAUGGAGGCCUUAGGGUUGUAAAGCUCUUUCGUCCGGGACGAUAAUGACGGUACCGGAAGAAGAAGCCCCGGCUAACUUCGUGCC
rnacentral:rRNA from 1 species